rnacentral:rRNA from 1 species
UACAGAGGGCACAGGCGUUAUUCAUUUUGAUUGGGUGUAAAGGGUACGUAGGCAGCUUUUGAAAUUUCUGGCCUAAAGUGCAGAGCAUUCCUAUGCGACAGCCAGUUAGAGAUUAAGCUAGUGUUGGAUACAGGUUGGGGAAAUUUCUUGUGUAGGGGUAGGAUCCACGUAUAUAAGAACGAAGGCCAGCUGGCGAAGGCGCCUUUCUAGUUCCAACAGACGCUAAGGUACGGAAGCUUAGGGAGCAAACAGA